rnacentral:rRNA from 1 species
CAUAUCUAUAAGCGGAGGAAAGAAACUAACAAGGAUUCCCCCUAGUAACUGCGAGUGAAGCGGGAAGAGCUCAAAUUUAAAAUCUGUCCCUCUUUGGCCGUCCGAGUUGUAAUCUAGAGAAGUGUUUUCCGCGCUGGACCGUGUACAAGUCUCUUGGAACAGAGCGUCAUAGAGGGUGAGAAUCCCGUCUUUGACACGGACUACCAGUGCUUUGUGAUGCGCUCUCGAAGAGUCGAGUUGUUUGGGAAUGCAGCUCAAAAUGGGUGGUAAAUUCCAUCUAAAGCUAAAUAUUGGCGAGAGACCGAUAGCGAACAAGUACCGUGAGGGAAAGAUGAAAAGCACUUUGGAAAGAGAGUUAAACAGUACGUGAAA